GGCCGCGCCGCGAGAUCCCUCCCCGUGCACCCUUCGCGCUGCAGGGGCGGCACCUGCUCGCCCAGCUGCUGGGCGGCGCUGGGAGUGGUUCCGAGCUGCUAGGGGACCCUGGGCAGCGCAGACCCUCUGCCCCGCGUCCUCCGCAUCGUCCCUUACAGGCAAAGCCCCCCAAUAAAGUAUGUUCCGAGGGAGAAGAAAGGCCCCAUCUCUCUGCAUCCCAAAUGAAGUCUGACGACGUAGCAUCACCUGGAGGCCUCAUUCCUGCCUCCACUUUGAGAUGCACCUUUAUCAUGAAGUAGACUCAUACUCACGUGGCUCUAUGUCCAGACCUAUUUGCUCCAGGAAUCUACUUGUCUCUUCCCGUGAUGAUAUCACAUAGUGUGAUUGUUAUAGUUUUGGAAUAUAUUUUAAUGCCUAACCACACAAGCCCCUGAUACUGUUAUGUUUUUUUUAAAAUUUGCCAAUUCCCAAUCAUGUAGAUUUUGGGGGGUAAGUUACAGAAUGAUUUUUGUCAAACCUUCUCCCUCCCCCACCCAUGCCAAAAUCCCAUCAGAAUUUCAACUGGUGUU